rnacentral:rRNA from 1 species
GUCUGCAACUCGACCACACGAAGCUGGAAUCGCUAGUAAUCGCGAAUCAGCAUGUCGCGGUGAAUACGUUCCCGGGUCUUGUACACACCGCCCGUCACACCAUGGGAGUCGGUAACACCCGAAGCCUGUAGUCUAACCGCAAGGAGGACGCAGUCGAAGGUGGGAUUGAUGACUGGGGUGAAGUCGUAACAAGGUAUC